CCUCCUUUCUAAGGAAACAAUUAUCAUCUUCAGUUUUGAGAGACUUAAGAAAGUUUUUCAUUGUAACUUGCUUGCAAAUUGUAUUUGCAACAUUUUAAUCUUUUUAAGAUUAAGGGCCUAUAGCUCAGUUGGUUAGAGCACACGCCUGAUAAGCGUGAGGUCGGUGGUUCAAGUCCAUUUAGGCCCACCAUAACCACAAAUAGGCAAAAUCUUAAAAAAGCUCUUUGAAAAGUAGAUAAACGAAGGUUAAAAAAUCAAAGGAA
rnacentral:misc_RNA from 1 species